GCGGCGUGCCUAACACAUGCAAGUCGCACGAGAAAGCUCUCUUCGGGGAGUGAGUAGAGUGGCGCACGGGUGAGUAACGCGUGGGCAAUCUGCCCCCGAGUUGGGAAUAACCCCUCGAAAGGGGGGCUAAUACCGAAUAACACCUCGAUCGCUUCGGCGGACGAGGUCAAAGGUGGCCUCUGAUUCAAGCUACCGCUUGGGGAGGAGCCCGCGUCCCAUUAGCUUGUUGGUGAGUGUAACGGCCUACCAAGGCUACGAUGGGUAGCCGGCCUGAGAGGGUGACCGGCCACACUGGAACUGAGACACGGUCCAGGCUCCUACGGGAGGCAGCAGUGGGGAAUUUUGCGCAAUGGGCGAAAGCCUGACGCAGUGACGCCGCGUGGACGAUGAAGGCCUUCGGGUCGUAAAGUCCUGUCAAGUGGGAAGAAGUGCAUGGUAGUCAAUACCUGCCAUGUUUUGACGGUACCACUAGGAGGAAGCCCCGGCAACUCCGUGCCAGCAG
rnacentral:rRNA from 1 species